UAUGGGUAUCCACACAAAAUCUUGAUCUAAUCAGAAACCUUUGAUCUCACUGGAGUGCUAGCUCCUUUGCAGAGAUUGCAUCUUAAUGAUCGAUGAGAACUCUUCUUUUCUCUCAAGACUCUUUUAGAGAAAAAGAAGAAUAGGAGGAUGAAGAAUAAAAAAACUUUUUUCUUUUCUUCCUAAAACCUAUGCACAAGAUCUCUACGCUAGAGAUCUAGAGAAGAAUCCUUUCUUCUCUUUUCUUCCACAUAUAAGAGAACCCUUUCUCUCAUCCUUUUCCAUGCCUCCAAGAGGAACCUUUCCUCUCCAAAUAUCAGC
rnacentral:lncRNA from 1 species